rnacentral:rRNA from 1 species
AACUCUCACUUUCUAACCCUGUGCACUUGUUUGGGAUAGUAACUCUCGCAAGAGAGCGAACUCCUAUUCACUUAUAAACACAAAGUCUAUGAAUGUAUUAAAUUUUAUAACAAAAUAAAACUUUCAACAACGGAUCUCUUGGCUCUCGCAUCGAUGAAGAACGCAGCGAAAUGCGAUAAGUAAUGUGAAUUGCAGAAUUCAGUGAAUCAUCGAAUCUUUGAACGCACCUUGCGCUCCAUGGUAUUCCGUGGAGCAUGCCUGUUUGAGUGUCAUGAAUACUUCAACCCUCCUCUUUCUUAAUGAUUGAGGAGGUGUUUGGUUUCUGAGCGCUGCUGGCCUUUACGGUCUAGCUCGUUCGUAAUGCAUUAGCAUCCGCAAUCGAACUUCGGAUUGACUUGGCGUAAUAGACUAUUCGCUGAGGAAUUCUAGUCUUCGGACUAGAGCCGGGUUGGGUUAAAGGAAGCUUCUAAUCAGAAUGUCUACAUUUUAAGAUUAGAUCUCAAAUCAGGUAGGACUACCCGCUGAACUUAAGCAUAUCAAUAAGCGGAGGGU